rnacentral:lncRNA from 1 species
UUUAAUUUAAAUAAAUUGAGUAGUCAUACACUUAGAGCAUUCUUCCCACCCAAUAAUAAUAAAAAGUUUCUCAGAAAAUUCACAGAAUUGGAAAUCCUUAGUUUGUUAUUUUGGCAGCUUAAGGAAAAUGAAUACAUGUAAAAAAGGGAAUGUUUGUGCUCCUCACCACUUUCAUUUUAUCCUAACCCAAAAGGAAUAAAGAAAAAUGACACUAAAAUCAAAUGUAAUCAUUGUUUCUACCUAAUAAAAGCAAAACAAAAUCAUCACCUUCUACAAAUGAAUCAAAGAUAGCAAAGAGAGAAGAAAAACUAACCAAAUUCCUUGUAGUUGCGUGAACAAUGUGUCCCUUUCC